GGAGACGUGGAUGAGUGGCUGAAAUCACUCCCCUGCUAAGGGAGCAUAGGGGCCAAAACCUCUAUCGAGGGUUCGAAUCCCUCCGUCUCCGCCA
rnacentral:tRNA from 7 species